CAUGAGAACUUACAGAACACGAAGCAUGCACGAACAGACUAAACAAACGAAACAGUCCCGUGUGGUACCUACACUGACACGGAAGACAAUCACCCACAAACAAACAGUGUGAACAGCCUACCUUAAUAUGGUUCUCAAUCAGAGGAAACGUAAAACACCUGCCCCUGAUUGAGAACCAUAUCAGGCUAAUUGAAAAGAACCCAACAUAGAAACACAUAACAUAGAAUGCCCACCCCAACUCACGUCCUGACCAUACUAAACAAAUACAAAACAAGGGAAAACAGGGGCCUGUUGCACAAAAGUAGAAUUAAGACAUCCGGGAUAAAUGACUCAGCUGAGCUCAAUGAAGCCAAAACAUGUGCGUCCAGGCUUAAUUGGUUGCACAAAGACCAAGCCAGGAUGAGCAGACACGGAUUCAUUAAGCCAGGUGAAACCAAUCCUGGAUAGGUGCGCGCUCACGGCUCACUCAAAUAGACCCCGCCACAGAUCACAGAUUAACUGAUUUACCAUGGCAACUAGAGCCGCGUACUUUUCCCCGUCGGAAGCACAAAUCCUCAUGGAGGCAUACGAGGAGGUAAAAGAUAUAAUUAAGAAGAAAGGCAACACCGCCACAGUGAUAAAGCAAAGAGAAAAAGCCUGGCAAAGUAUUGCAGACCGCCUGAAUGCGUAAGUAGUGCACAAUUACACAGUCACCGCUCCGCUGAAACAUCACAAUUACAAUUCAAAUAUUUAAUUCACAUCUCCAAAAAUGCAGUUGUACUGUAAUUAUGAAACGGUUACAUUUUUAAUUGAAAUGCACUGCAGAUAUGAGUGAAAUUGUGUAAAGUAACUCCAUCACACUGUAUGAAGCUAUGAUAAAUUUUUUGAUAUUUUUACUGAAAACAAGACAAAAAUACCAAGUAAUUUUUUGCAGUGUGACUCCAUUAAAUGUGUGUGUGUGUGUGUGUAGAUUAAACAUGAACGGGCCAAAACGGACAUGGCAGCAGGUCAAAAUCAAAUACAAGAACAUUCUGCAGAAUGCAGUGAAAAAGAAUACCCACAGACAAGGCACGGGUGGUGGGUCACCAAAGGCUGACCUUACCCCAGCAGAGGACAUGGCCUUGGAGCUAAAUAAAGGCAGGCCCGUCUUAGAGGGGAUCCCUGGGGGGAAAGAGACGAGCAUAGGUUCCUCCCAAGAUGCCACCCGCUUCAUUCAAGUGUCUGGCAGCACUGUGUUCCUGUUAGAGCCACCAGCACAAGCACCAGACGAUGCUGAUCCAGGUGAAGGCCCCAGUGCAGCAGCAACAGCACAUGAUGGAGACGAUGAUGAGGAGGAGACCAUCUCUCUGGAUUCCAGAAGGCAUGAGGUAUCAUGUUAAGACUGUGAAAGUACUAUUUGCUCUACAAUGGUGAGGAGUCCUCAUCAAAAUCAAAAAAUCUAAUUUAUUUUACAGGACCCAGAUGCUAUACAGUGGGAAAACCAGCCUGGCAACAUAGUGCGUAUUAAUAAAAGGACACCACAUCCUGCCAAAUUCCAGCUGCGCUAAUUGUAUUGUGUUCACAGAGCUCACAAGCUAUCAGAAAGUUGUAUGGCAACCACCUCUGGCGCCAAAUAGAACUGGCAGACAUAGACAUUCAGUACAAGAAGAAAAAGAUGGAAAAUCUUGCACUGGAGUCCGAAAUAAAAAAGAGGACAAUUAGGAAACUGGACCUUGAAAUAAAAAAACUUGAGAGGGAGGUGAGAUAUGCCUUCAAUGUACACUGUAUGCUAACUGUAACACAAAUGUAUUAAUCAUUAUUUUUCUUUCCUCCCCCAGCUCCAAGAAGAUGACACAGCUCAAAAUAAAAAUUAGGUAUAUUCUCGUAAAGUCAAGUGAGCCAUGACAUAUGAGCUCUUAUUGUGAGCACACAGGACGGUGGCAUCUUUCUAAGGUUUUUUUUAUUUUCCCAGCAAUCAGUACAACCAAGUCAUCGUUAUAAGGCAUCGCCCUCUUUUGCCCACCCCCCCAGCACCAGGUGUGGCCACUAGCCUAUAUGAAGGCCCAAAAUUGUGUGUUCCUUUCUGCUCUGACAAUGGCAUGCCCAUUCGUGCGAGAUGUGGUGGAUGAAGAAGCACUUGUGCUGAGGAGAGCCUUCAGGCGAGAAAGGGUCUUCAGGGACUGGUUGGACCCACUGGCCUUCCCUGAUGACCAUCUAUAUGAAAGAUACAGGUUUUCUGCAGAUGGCAUCAGGUAUCUAUGCAGACUACUGGGUCCCAGGAUUAAGCACCGCACUGCACGGAGCCAUGCACUGAGUGUGGAGCAAAUGGUUUGUGUGGCCUUGCGCUUUUUUGCUAGUGGAGCCUUCCUGUACUCAGUGGGGGAUGCAGAACAGCUGAACAAGGCCACAAUUUGCCGCACAAUAAGGAGUGUGUGUCUGGCUAUCAAAGCAUUAGCAGAUGUCUUCAUCUCCUUCCCUGGCCACAGAAGACUCUGUGACAUCAAAGAGGAGUUCUAUAGGAUUGCAGAUGGUCUGCAAUGCUGACUGUGUGAUCAGCAAUGUUGUGGCAAAAUGGCCUGGCUCAGUCCAUGACUCCAGAAUCUUUCGGGCCUCUGAAAUCUAUCACAAGGUGAAUUCUCUGGUGUGUUGCUGGGAGACAGGGGGUAUGGCUGCCAGCCUUUUCUCCUGACACCUUUCACAGACCCCCAGGAAGCACAGCAGGCCUACAACUAUGCCCAUGCCAGGACCAGGGCCAGAGUUGAAAUGACCUUUGGUCUCCUGAAGGCACGCUUUCACUGCCUUCACAAAUUAAGGGUCAGCCCUGUUAGGGCAUGUGAUAUUACUGUGGCUUGUGCUGUCCUCCACAAUGUGGCCUGCCUGAGGAAGGAGAGGGCCCCCAGAGUGCCACCAGCCAUGGACUGGGACAAUCCGGCAAUCUUCCCUGAUGACGACAGUGGUCGGCUGCUGAGGGACCAAUAUGUGUUGAAUUAUUUUAGUUAGUAUGUGUGCUUUCAAUUUUGGUUAAAUAUGUCCUGCGGUGGCAGAGGAAUUUGGGUUUUUUUGGGUUCGUUUUUUUACGAAUUUGGCCUCAUGAUGUUUGUGCGGUAUACUGUGUGUAAUACAAGGCUGCAGGGAGGCUACUGCAUCCAUUCAUUUGUCUGUUCAGUUGAUGUGUAUGGAUUUGUCCUGCAUUUAUUUUAGUGUGCAGACAUGCAGGGUGUGUUAUAUACAGACCUUUGAAUGUGUAUGUAUCAUUUUGUAUAAUAUGCUUGGAUUCUGUGCUUUCCAUCUUGUAGAGUCACUGUGACUUCAGUUUCGAAAGGAGCUGAUGGUUUACCUGCUUUGUUUUGUCCUUAUUCAAUAAAGGAACAUAAUGUUACACAUUGUGUUUUUAUAUUCAUAUGGAAUGUGUAUUUGUUUAUAUGACAGAGUACUAGGGCCACACUGAAGAAAAAGGAUAAAGUCAUACAUUUAUGAGGCUGGUUCUUUCUGCAGAAAAGCUACAUAUUGUUUUUACAGUUUUGAUACUUAUGACAAUGUGAUACUUAAUAUUCUGGCACAUCAGCAUGUCUUUGUUUAUGAAACCAUACUGAAGUACAAUUUCACGAAAUGCCCCACAUCUGUCAUUUUAACAACUGUCCUCCUUUAAAACAACUGGUUACAAUAUUAUUACUUGUGUUUUUUUCCCCUCUGUGGCCCUAAUAUUCUAUCAUUUUAUAUAUAGCCUUAUAGUCUAUGGGAAACUGUAAAUUAUCUAAUGAUAGCAACAUCAUCUAAAAAUU